rnacentral:rRNA from 1 species
UACGUCCUUUACGGGAGAAAGCAGGGGAUCUUCGGACCUUGCGGUAUAGAUGAGCCUAAGUCGGAUUAGCUAGUUGGUGGAAGUAAAGGCCUACCAAGGCGACGAUCUGUAGCGGGUCUGAGAGGAUGAUCCGCCACACUGGGACUGAGACACGGCCCAGACUCCUACGGGAGGCAGCAGUGGGGAAUAUUGGACAAUGGGGGGAACCCUGAUCCAGCCAUGCCGCGUGUGUGAAGAAGGCCUUAUGGUUGUAAAGCACUUUAAGCGAGGAGGAGGCUACUUUAGUUAAUACCUAGAGAUAGUGGACGUUACUCGCAGAAUAAGCACCGGCUAACUCUGUGCCAGCAGCCGCGGUAAUACAGAGGGUGCGCGUUAAUCGGAUUUACUGGGCGUAAAGGGCGUGCGUAGGCGGCUUAUUAAGUCGGAUGUGAAAUCCCCGAGCUUAACUUGGGAAUUGCAUUCGAUACUGGUGAGCUAGAGUAUGGGAGAGGAUGGUAGAAUUCCAGGUGUAGCGGUGAAAUGCGUAGAGAUCUGGAGGAAUACCGAUGGCGAAGGCAGCCAUCUGGCCUAAUACUGACGCUGAGAGUACGAAAGCAUGGGGAGCAAACAGGAUUAGAUACCCUGGUAGUCCAUGCCGUAAACGAUGUCUACUAGCCGUUGGGGCCUUAAGAGGCUUUAGUGGCGCAGCUAACGCGAUAAGUAGACC